UACGUAGGUGGCAAGCGUUGUCCGGAAUUAUUGGACGUAAAGCGCGCGCAGGCGGUCCUUUAAGUCUGAUGUGAAAGCCCACGGCUCAACCGUGGAGGGUCAUUGGAAACUGGAGGACUUGAGUACGGAAGAGGAAAGCGGAAUUCCACGUGUAGCGGUGAAAUGCGUAGAGAUGUGGAGGAACACCAGUGGCGAAGGCGGCUUUCUGGUCUGUAACUGACGCUGAGGCGCGAAAGCGUGGGGAGCAAACAGG
rnacentral:rRNA from 1 species